GUAACACCUCGUUAAAUUUAUCUAUAAGACAUCAUUCUGUCAGUCGUAAAGCUGCGCCUGCUUUUGCAUCUACUCAAAGAUGUUGGUGCUGGAGAAAUUGACGUUCAGGGCAAUCUUUCUUCUUUUACACUUUUGGCUUACUGCAGGCUUGAAACCGUUAGGCGAGAAGUCCAUCCCCGAAUUUCAUCCGAACCAUGGUAAUGAGCUCCGCCCGGAAGCCAGUACUUUACGCCAGGUGCUUGCCGACGUUCUGGCCGGAUAUAUGCUGGUCACCAUAACCGUCAAUAUUCUCACCACAUUUAUCAAAGUGGCCUUAAUCCUGAUGGACUCCGCCAAACGUUAUCAUGAAACGAUUACUUUAUACUCUCGUUGGGAGGAGAAGCAUUAUCAGCAUCAGGAGCUGUUACUGGCGCUAGGGCGGAUUGAGUGGCGGUUGAACAGCAAGCGCAAACGCCGACGCAGCACAAUAAAUGGGAUGCUUAUCGAAGAAUUAAAGAGCACCUUGAACCUUGCCGAAGCCACCGUGAACCAGUUGAAGGAUGCCGGCUUCACCGGCACCGAUGACCUUUCAGCUUUAGCUAAGUCACGAAACUGAUAUUAUCGGGAAACCUGGAGGGUUUCCCGAUAAUCUCAGUUUCGUGACCCUAAUCCGUGACCGCACCGUAAUUGAAAGUUACCUCAUCGACCAUGCCACCGAAAUACCGGAUAGUGCGCCAGUAACCUCGGCAUCAACUGUAGAUGAAGGUGGAGGCUGCUCCACCUUCAUCUACAGUUGAGGCCGAUGUUACUGGCGCAGGCAACCCAGUCAACCAUCAGCCAGCUCAUCACAAUCCAGAAGCAGUCGGCAUCGUCAUCAUCGGAAAGCAGAGUUCAGUCUCAGUCCUGGAAAAUGUAAAAGUGUUCACCGGAAGGGGCGAAGCCAGAUGGCAACGAUUCCUGCUUAAAAUCUCAUUGUCAGCCAAACCUAGCGGGAUCUCACAAAACAAGACCCCGUCUUCUUAUCGUGUCUGAACGACCUGCCCAGAUCCCACUACGGCCUUACAGAGGCUUAUAUGACCAACCCAGCUGCUUCGAUAGCUGUCUCCGUGCUGGCCGUGCUGAUGACGACGUCAAUCUCGGUAGGUUACGUGCUUAUUACAACGACGCUGCUAGAGCAACUGAACUCGGUUUACUGCUGGACAGUGUGCACGUCCAUCCACAAUACGGCGCAGCCGGUAAUCGCGUCAACAACGACUACUGUCUGCUGAAAACAAAACGAGUAAUGAACUUCAGCGAGCAUGUUCAACCAGUGUGUUUACCGGCCAACGCAUCCAGCGAUCCACCAGCUGGAGCGACAUGCUACACAACUGGCUGGGGCAGUACCGCCAAGAAUCUCUCCGCUCCGGUGUAUCCGUUCGCUCUCCGCCAAGUAGACGUCCAAAUCUACUCGCAAACUAUCUGCAAACGAAUCUACGCUGUGAUUACGGACCGCAUGAUCUGCACGCUGACAUCCGGAAAAAGCAGUUGUUCCGGUGACAGCGGCGGUCCCCUGGUGUGCCGUGACGAUGCGACCGGACAGUGGACACUGCACGGCAUCACAUCGUUUGUGUCGUCUCUUGGAUGCGGGCAUCCAUGGGUACCCACAGUGUACGCCCGUCCCUCGGCCGUGCUGGAUUGGAUAGCCAGCACGAUGGAAACAUAGGGCAGACUUUUACACUGUUUUGCGAAUCUUCUGAUCAAAUCUUUGACUUGUUCUUUUGUGUCCGUUCUCUCGUUUCACGAAUAAUAUUGCAUGGAGAAUUCCCAUAAUAAGGCAAAUUUAUGUUCUCAUUACAUGAAUAAUACUGCAUGGAGGAUUCAGAAUUGCCAUAAUAAGGCAGCUUUCAGUUCGCAUGUGACUUUGUUGUGGCCAUGGUAU